UUGUCUAUUUAUUUGGCAGUGGAUGCAAACAUGAUGGGCACAGAAGCCACCCCUUUUGCUACACUCUCCCCCUUUUUUCACAUCCCGCUGGACUCUGGAGGUUUGAGCAUCCUGGUCUGUGUGGUCAAUGAUGUUCUAAACAGAGAUGGAGGAAUGUCCUGGCUUUCCAGAGGCAGCAGCAGGAGCAGCAGGAGCAGCUCUGGGCCUGUUCUCUACAAUGUACUGGAUCAUGAAGGCAGCACUGAGAGUGCAGUGUCUGUUCACUCGUUGGUUUCGACGUACACUUGCUUUGUGAGUCACAGGAGCUCUAUUCCCCUCAUGCACAGAGACUUUGGUGGAUUCCAGAGAAAGAGAAUAGAUGUAAAUGAAGAAGACAUGAAGGAUGUGUGUUCAGAACAUGGAGAUGACUUCACUAAAGUUAUCAGGUUUCAUACGGAUCUUCUGAUCAUACAGGCUCUCAGAAUGCUCUGCCUGAAGAUCACCAUUUUCAACGUCUUGAUUACGACACAGGCUGUCAUAAAAUGAAUGUCAUACAGUCCUGAAAACCUGGAGAAAUUAAGUCUAAAGGCAGACAGUAGUUGAGCAGAGCUACUUGGAUGUAGCCCACUCCUGCAGAAGAGACCCCCGCCAGUCUAAAGGAGAACUGAACUACUAAACACAGCUGAACGAGUGUUUUGAAUGUUGGGUUUUUCCUCACACGUUCUGAUCAGAUUGGUGCAGGUGCUGCAUUAUGUGGCGUGAGAAUGAGGAGAUAUCUGAUCAUAAACUAACCUCAGACUCUGAAGAACACAGCAGGUGAAGUGCACUACACACAGCUCUGUACUGUUCUUUCACUAAUGGGUGCUUUUUCUUUUUAAUGUCUUCAAUAAAAACACUUGAAAUAUAGACUCA
rnacentral:lncRNA from 1 species